GCCAAGUUGUGUUCAUGUUUGGAUCCAUAUUACACAUACAUAUUGUCUAAAAAAUUAAUACAAACAUCAAGUUCAACUUACAACACAUAUUACAUUACAUCAAGAUUCAGCUACACCCAUUUCAAAAAUCCAACGUCAAUUGUCAUUGCUCAUGAGGAAAUCUAUACAAGAAUCCAUUUCCAAGUCAAGAUCCAUUAUACCAUUAGAAUUGCAAGGAAAAUAUGGUUUAGACUAAACUCAUAUAGACUCCUAAGACAUGUUUCUCACAUGAAUCUCAAGUUCUUCAUGUAUUCCAGGUUGCCUUCCUAUGCUCUAGUACAUGUGCAACCUCAAGCUGCAAGCCAUCUCCAUUUCUCCAUUCAUCUUCCGCGGAUCAGGUUUAUUUCACAACUUCAAAGCAUGUCAAACCAUAUGCACCCUUUGUUAAAAAUCCUGUCCAUAAAUCUGUAUAAUCAGGAAAAAAACAAGUUAUUGACCACAAGCAAAAUAACACCUCAACACAUCAUAACAAAAUUUCUGUGA